rnacentral:rRNA from 1 species
UGGGGAAUAUUGGACAAUGGGCGAAAGCCUGAUCCAGCCAUGCCGCGUGUGUGAAGAAGGUCUUCGGAUUGUAAAGCAUUUUAAGUUGGGAGGAAGGGCAGUAAGCGAAUACCUUGCUGUUUUGACGUUACCGACAGAAUAAGCACCGGCUAACUCUGUGCCAGCAGCAGCGGUAAUACAGAGGGUGCAAGCGUUAAUCGGAAUUACUGGGCGUAAAGCGCGCGUAGGUGGUUCGUUAAGUUGAAUGUGAAAGCCCCGUGCUCAACCUUGGAACUACAUCCAAAACUGGCGAGCUUGAGUAGGGCAGUGAGUGGUGGAAUUUCCUGUGUAGCGAUGAAUUGCAUAGAUAUAGGUAGGAACACAAGUUGCGAAGGCGACCACCUGGGCUCAUACUGACACUGAGUUGCGAAAGCGUGCGGAGCAAACAGG